AUUGAACGCUGGCGGAAUGCUUUACACAUGCAAGUCGAACGGCAGCACGGACUUCGGUCUGGUGGCGAGUGGCGAACGGGUGAGUAAUGUAUCGGAACGUGCCCAGUCGUGGGGGAUAACGUAGCGAAAAUUACGCUAAUACCGCAUACGAUCUAGGGAUGAAAGCGGGGGAUCGCAAGACCUCGCGCGAUUGGAGCGGCCGAUAUCAGAUUAGGUAGUUGGUGGAGUAAAGGCCCACCAAGCAAACGAUCUGUAGCUGGUCUGAGAGGACGACCAGCCACACUGGAACUGAGACACGGUCCAGACUCCUACGGGAGGCAGCAGUGGGGAAUUUUGGACAAUGGGCGAAAGCCUGAUCCAGCCAUUCCGCGUGCAGGAUGAAGGCCCUCGGGUUGUAAACUGCUUUUGUACAGAAUGAAAAGGUUUCUACUAAUACUAGGAGCUCAUGACGGUACUGUAAGAAUAAGCACCGGCUAACUACGUGCCAGCCGCCGCAGUAA
rnacentral:rRNA from 1 species